rnacentral:tRNA from 1 species
ACGCGCGUAUUUCAACGGUAGAAUGCGAGUCUGAUAAACUCGUGACGGAAGUUCGACUCUUCCCGUGCGUA